UCGAACGAGAAAGCCCGCAAGGGUGAGUAAAGUGGCGCACGGGUGAGUAACACGUGGGUAAUCUGCCUCUGGGUGGGGAAUAACUCUGGGAAACCGGAGCUAAUACCGCAUAAGCCUGCAAGGGGAAAGGUGAAAAUCGCCGAGAGAGGAGCCCGCGGCCGAUUAGCUUGUUGGUGAGGUAAAGGCUCACCAAGGCAACGAUCGGUAGCCGGCCUGAGAGGGCACACGGCCACACUGGCACUGAAACACGGGCCAGACUCCUACGGGAGGCAGCAGUGGGGAAUCUUGCACAAUGGGGGAAACCCUGAUGCAGCGACGCCGCGUGAGCGAUGAAGCCCUUCGGGGUGUAAAGCUCUUUCGGCAGGAACGAUAAUGACGGUACCUGAAGAAGAAGCUGCGGCUAACUACGUGCCAGCAGCCGCGGUAAUACGUAGGCAGCGAGCGUUG
rnacentral:rRNA from 1 species